UCUUAAUUUUAUGCUCGUGACUUCAUUUUACAAGAUCAGAAGAACUUAUAGUCAAUAUUGGCAAGGAAAUAGAUCAGAAUAAUAAGAAUUGGGUUCUCAAUAAGGCACAACGUGAUGGGUUUAGCAUUUGAAAUUUCAUUAAUCUUUUGGAUUGCGGUUUGUUUUUCCUUCACCACAUGCAUCAAUGGCGAUUCUUAUGUUUGCAAAAAAGUGAGGUGUGGAUGUGAAUUUAGUACUAAAAAUGGAACAUAUAAAAUUUCAAUGGACAAAAUCAGCAAGAAAGGAACUUAUUUCAUAGAAGUGAAAUCUGCCUACUGGACCUACUUUGUUGAUCCAUGUUAUGGGUUCACAAUAAACAUUAAUUGCACCGGCGUCAGAGUAAGUAUAUUUUCACGUUUAGAGGUAUUUUUCCUAUAUAUUCCGUUAGUCUGUGAACGUUAGCUAUCAUUUUUUGCGCGGGGCAUAAACAUAUGUCGAAGAAGCGGUUCUGAAAAGUAGGAGAUAAAUCCUAUCAUUAUAUAGCAAGUUUAAAUGUUUGAGUCUGAUUGGUUAAAACUACGUCACGUUGUUUUUCAGGUUUGAACCAGGGGUUUAAUGAAAGCGGAAGUCGUUAUUUUUUGUCAUAUCACGCGACUUAAACCUCAUGCAGUUUCA